UCCAGAGCAACACGUACAAAGUGCUGAAGCAGAUCGGGCAGCACCUAUGGAAAAGAAAUUGAGUUGAUGCUUUGGGCCGAGACCCUUCAUCAGGACUGGAAAGUCGGGGGGAAGAAACCAAAAUAAGAAGGUGGCCACCAAGAGCAAGGCAGCUGGGUCUUUGCAAGAGGAUCUUUAGGUGUUUUCACUGUUACGAAAAAAAUCAGCGAGCGAUAAAAGGCAGCGCGCGCCCCGAGCAGCCGCUGUCCCCCAGAUUCGGAACAGCAUUGCUUUAACACGUGCCUGUGAGCAGCCGUUUGCAAGAUGUGCUAUGUGCCUCCCAGCUACCGCUGGACCCUUGCAUGCUUCGCGGCAAUGUAUCUGUCGGCAGCCUGGAGGGUGGGGGCCACUGCACCACCCAACCUCCGACGACUCAGUCUAACACACCAUCAGUGUGUUCGGCAAGCUGUCUUCCCGAUUACAAUACUGCCUGGCCUGCUGAGUUCCUCCAGCAUUUUUGUGUGUUGCUUUGGAAUCGAGCAUCUGCAAAUAUUCUCAUGUUUGUGAUGUACCCGAGGGCUUGCAACACUAGGAAAGGUGCCAUGAGGUUUUGGAGCAUGAAGGUCUACGAGAUGUAUGAGUUGAGGCUAUAAAAUCUUGUAAUAUACACAAAAAAUGAUAAGAAUUGUCAUCUGUUUAGUAAAUGGAAAAACCGUGCAAGGAUUUAGCAGAAGGGAGGAAAGCCCAGAAUACUGGGAGAGGGGGCUUAGUUGCAAUUAGAGCAUUUUGAUAAUAUGGUGUCCAGAAACAUUGGAAUGGGAGAACUUCCACACUUGAGUAUACAUGAAAGACACUAUGACAUUACUAAGAAAAGCAUAUGACAACAGCUCGGCAGCACUCUCCAGCAUCUGCAGAUUUUCUCUUGUUUGUGACAACAGCUGGGUAAAGUUUUGGUGGCCAGUAAGGGAAGGUGGGAGGUGACCAAGACUAUGAGCACUAAGAGCUGGCUAGUUUUCUCAAGUGUUAUUGCAGAAAUUACGUGGUGAUACAUGAAACAACUCAAACCUAGUUAAGAAAUUUAUGUUAAAUAUAACACCAGUUUCUCCAGAUUAAUACAAGUUUCCCCCACCAUCCGAAGGUAGAGCGUUCCUAUGAAAUGGUUCGUAAGCCGAAAUGUCAUAAAGCGAAAAAGCGAUUACCAUUUACUUAUAUGGGAAAAUUUUGUGAGCGUUCACAGACCCAAAAAUAACCUACCAAAUCAUGCCAAAUAACACAUAAAAGCUAAAAUAGCAGUAACAUAUAGUAAAAGCAGGAACGAUAUGAUAAAUACACAGCCUAUAUAAAGUAGAAAUACUUUCCCACAAUCAUUACUGAACUGGUCUCCGGAGCAAACAUCUCACGCAAGCGCCGUCGGCAGAAAAUCUCACGCAAGCGCUGUUGGCAAAAACACGCGCAAGCGCUCUCCAGUAACCUUUAAGCUAUGAAGCUGCCAAAUCAUACCAAAAUAACACGUAAAAAUACACAGCCGAUAUAAAGUAGAAAUAAUGUAUGUACAGUGUAGUAUCACUUAUGGGAAUCGGGACAGCACCGAGCACACUGAUGUUGGUGCGUUAGACUGAGUCGUUGCAGUUUG